ACUCAAAUGAAUUGACGGGGGCCCGCACAAGCGGUGGAGCAUGUGGUUUAAUUCGAUGCAACGCGAAGAACCUUACCAGGGCUUGACAUCCCGGGAACCUGCCUGAAAGGGGAGGGUGCCCGCAAGGGAGCCCGGAGACAGGUGGUGCAUGGCUGUCGUCAGCUCGUGUCGUGAGAUGUUGGAUUAAGUUCCGCAACGAGCGCAACCCUCGUGGUCUGUUGCCAGCAGUUCGGCUGGGCACUCAGGCCAGACUGCCGUCGUAAGGCGGAGGAAGGUGGGGAUGACGUCAAGUCAGCAUGCCCCGUACGCCCUGGGCGACACACAUGCUACAAUGCCGGCAGCAGACCGUCGCGAACCCGUGAGGGGGAGCUAAUCGGACAAGGGCCGGCUCAGUGCGGAUUGUAGGCUGCAACCCGCCUACAUGAAGUCGGAAUCGCUAGUAACCGUCGGUCAGCACUACGACGGUGAAUACGUUCCCGGGCCUUGUACACACCGCCCGU
rnacentral:rRNA from 1 species